AGGCCUAAUACAUGCAAGUCGAGCGCAUCCUUCGGGAUGAGCGGCGGACGGGUGAGUAACGCGUGGGAAUAUGCCCUUCUCUAAGGAAUAGCCUCUGGAAACGGAGAGUAAUACCUUAUACGCCCUUCGGGGGAAAGAUUUAUCGCUCUGAGAUAGGCCCGCGCAAGAUUAGCUUGUUGGUGAGGUAAUGGCUCACCAAGGCUCCGAUCUUUAGCUGGUUUGAGAGGAUGAUCAGCCACACUGGGACUGAGACACGGCCCAGACUCCUACGGGAGGCAGCAGUAGGGAAUAUUGGACAAUGGGGGAAACCCUGAUCCAGCAAUGCAGCGUGAGUGACGAAGGCCUUAGGGUUGUAAAACUCUUUCAUCUGUGAGGAUAAUGACAGUAGCAGAAGAAGAAGGACCGG
rnacentral:rRNA from 1 species